rnacentral:rRNA from 1 species
CUCCUGACUGACCGAUAGUGAACCAGUACCGUGAGGGAAAGGCGAAAAGAACCCCUGUGAGGGGAGUGAAAUAGAACCUGAAACCGUGUACGUACAAGCAGUGGGAGCCCUUCGGGGUGACUGCGUACCUUUUGUAUAAUGGGUCAGCGACUUACAUUUUGUAGCGAGGUUAACCGUAUAGGGGAGCCGUAGGGAAACCGAGUCUUAACUGGGCGUCUAGUUGCAAGGUGUAGACCCGAAACCGGGUGAUCUAGCCAUGGGCAGGUUGAAGGUUGAGUAACAUCAACUGGAGGACCGAACCCACUAACGUUGCAAAGUUAGGGGAUGACCUGUGGCUGGGGGUGAAAGGCCAAUCAAACUCGGAGAUAGCUGGUUCUCCCCGAAAGCUAUUUAGGUAGCGCCUCGGACGAAUACUACUGGGGGUAGAGCACUGUUUGGGCUAGGGGGUCAUCCCGACUUACCAACCCCAUGCAAACUCCGAAUACCAGUAAGUAAUAUCCGGGAGACACACGGCGGGUGCUAACGUCCGUCGUGAAGAGGG